UGAGGGAAAGGCGAAAAGAACCCCGGCGAGGGGAGUGAAAAAGAACCUGAAACCGUGUACGUACAAGCAGUGGGAGCACGCUUAGGCGUGUGACUGCGUACCUUUUGUAUAAUGGGUCAGCGACUUAUAUUCUGUAGCAAGGUUAACCGAAUAGGGGAGCCGAAGGGAAACCGAGUCUUAACUGGGCGUUAAGUUGCAGGGUAUAGACCCGAAACCCGGUGAUCUAGCCAUGGGCAGGUUGAAGGUUGGGUAACACUAACUGGAGGACCGAACCGACUAAUGUUGAAAAAUUAGCGGAUGACUUGUGGCUGGGGGUGAAAGGCCAAUCAAACCGGGAGAUAGCUGGUUCUCCCCGAAAGCUAUUUAGGUAGCGCCUCGUGAAUUCAUCUCCGGGGGUAGAGCACUGUUUCGGCAAGGGGGUCAUCCCGACUUACCAACCCGAUGCAAACUGCGAAUACCGGAGAAUGUUAUCACGGGAGACACACGGCGGGUGCUAACGUCCGUCGUGAAGAGGGAAACAACCCAGACCGCCAGCUAAGGUCCCAAAGUCAUGGUUAAGUGGGAAACGAUGUGGGAAGGCCCAGACAGCCAGGAUGUUGGCUUAGAAGCAGCCAUCAUUUAAAGAAAGCGUAAUAGCUCACUGGUCGAGUCGGCCUGCGCGGAAGAUGUAACGGGGCUAAACCAUGCAC
rnacentral:rRNA from 1 species